AUUUUCAGUUGCUGUAUAGCAACCAUUUUAUGUUUACAUAAAUUUGAAUGGGUGAAAACGUGAAAAGUUCUUCGUCCAGGUGCUGCUGCUUUAUUAGUCUCCUCAACAUAAAAGUGGCCGAUUGUAUGCCAGCUUCUGGAAGGAGAUCACUGCGACCACGAAACAAACUUGACGAGUAUGACUGUCAAGGUGCACUAUUUGGUAGUGAGCUACUAUCACCAUUUUGCCAAUGGUUUUUUUGUUUCAUUCACAUGGCAGUUUUGCUGGGAGUUCUUGCUGGUGAUUUGUCAUGGCGCGUUGGACAUGGUUCCUCUGGCACAGCAAUAUGACAUUGUGUGAGGUAACGAAGUGUGGUCGAAACACGUUGUCCUGCUAUGAUAUGUCUUUGACGAACAGCAGCUUUUUGUGCCAAUGUACAAGUCCAAAGAAACUGGAGGAAAUGUAUGUUACAUUGAGUCAAAAUCUCCCAAGUGUGCAAACGAUUUUUCGUCGGUCCGGCUUUUUCUGUAAAAUUUUUAUGGGUUGACAACGAUAAAUAAAAAAUACAAUUUGGACAGUUUUUCGAAAUUUCGAAUUGUUAUGGGUAUUUUGCUUUUUUCAACAUGAGUUUGGAUUUUAUUUAAUUUCUCACG